rnacentral:rRNA from 1 species
GAUGAACGCUGGCGGCGUGCCUAAUACAUGCAAGUCGAGCGGACGGACGAGAAGCUUGCUUCUCUGAUGUUAGCGGCGGACGGGUGAGUAACACGUGGAUAACCUACCUAUAAGACUGGGAUAACUUCGGGAAACCGGAGCUAAUACCGGAUGAUAUUUUGAACCGCAUGGUUCAAAAGUGAAAGACGGGCUUGCUGCCACUUAUAGAUGGAUCCGCGCUGCAUUAGCUAGUUGGUAAGGUAACGGCUUACCAAGGCAACGAUGCAUAGCCGACCUGAGAGGGUGAUCGGCCACACUGGAACUGAGACACGGUCCAGACUCCUACGGGAGGCAGCAGUAGGGAAUCUGCCGCAAUGGGCGAAAGCCUGACGGAGCAACGCCGCGUGAGUGAUGAAGGUCUUCGGAUCGUAAAACUGUGUUAUUAGGGAAGAACAUAUGUGUAAGUAACUGUGCACAUCUUGACGGUACCUAAUCAGAAAGCCACGGCUAACUACGUG